UUGGAGAGUUUGAUCCUGGCUCAGAUUGAACGCUGGCGGCAGGUCCUAACACAUGCAAGUCGAGCGGAAACGAGUUAUCUGAACCUUCGGGGAACGAUAACGGCGUCGAGCGGCGGACGGGUGAGUAAUGCCUAGGAAAUUGCCCUGAUGUGGGGGAUAACCAUUGGAAACGAUGGCUAAUACCGCAUGAUGCCUACGGGCCAAAGAGGGGGACCUUCGGGCCUCUCGCGUCAGGAUAUGCCUAGGUGGGAUUAGCUAGUUGGUGAGGUAAGGGCUCACCAAGGCGACGAUCCCUAGCUGGUCUGAGAGGAUGAUCAGCCACACUGGAACUGAGACACGGUCCAGACUCCUACGGGAGGCAGCAGUGGGGAAUAUUGCACAAUGGGCGCAAGCCUGAUGCAGCCAUGCCGCGUGUGUGAAGAAGGCCUUCGGGUUGUAAAGCACUUUCAGUCGUGAGGAAGGUUGAGUGUAGUUAAUAGCUGCAUUAUUUGACGUUAGCGACAGAAGAAGCACCGGCUAACUCCGUGCCAGCAGCCGCGGUAAUAC
rnacentral:rRNA from 1 species